rnacentral:rRNA from 1 species
AACGAACGCUGGCGGCGCGCCUAAUACAUGCAAGUCGAGCGAGAAGACGUAGCAAUACGUUUGUAAAGCGGCGAACGGGUGAGGAAUACAUGGGUGACCUACCCUCGAGUGGGGAAUAACUAGCCGAAAGGUUAGCUAAUACCGCAUACGAUUCCUGGAUUGCGGUUCGGGAAGGAAAGCGAUACCGUGGGUAUCGCGCUCAUGGAUGGGCUCAUGUCCUAUCAGCUUGNGGUGAGGUAACGGCUCACCAAGGCUUCGACGGGUAGCUGGUCUGAGAGGACGAUCAGCCACACUGGCACUGCGACACGGGCCAGACUCCUACGGGAGGCAGCAGUAAGGAAUAUUGCGCAAUGGGCGAAAGCCUGACGCAGCGACGCCGCGUGGGGGA